GACGAACGCUGGCGGCGUGCUUAACACAUGCAAGUCGAACGGAAAGGCCCUGCUUUUGUGGGGUGCUCGAGUGGCGAACGGGUGAGUAACACGUGAGUAACCUGCCCUUGACUUUGGGAUAACUUCAGGAAACUGGGGCUAAUACCGGAUAGGAGCUCCUGCCGCAUGGUGGGGGUUGGAAAGUUUCGGCGGUUGGGGAUGGACUCGCGGCUUAUCAGCUUGUUGGUGGGGUAGUGGCUUACCAAGGCUUUGACGGGUAGCCGGCCUGAGAGGGUGACCGGCCACAUUGGGACUGAGAUACGGCCCAGACUCCUACGGGAGGCAGCAGUGGGGAAUAUUGCACAAUGGGCGGAAGCCUGAUGCAGCAACGCCGCGUGCGGGAUGACGGCCUUCGGGUUGUAAACCGCUUUCGCCUGUGACGAAGCGUGAGUGACGGUAAUGGGUAAAGAAGCACCGGCUAACUACGUGCCAGCAGCCGCGGUGAUACGUAGGGUGCGAGCGUUGUCCGGAUUUAUUGGGCGUAAAGGGCUCGUAGGUGGUUGAUCGCGUCGGAAGUGUAAUCUUGGGGCUUAACCCUGAGCGUGCUUUCGAUACGGGUUGACUUGAGGAAGGUAGGGGAGAAUGGAAUUCCUGGUGGAGCGGUGGAAUGCGCAGAUAUCAGGAGGAACACCAGUGGCGAAGGCGGUUCUCUGGGCCUUUCCUGACGCUGAGGAGCGAAAGCGUGGGGAGCGAACAGGCUUAGAUACCCUGGUAGUCCACGCUGUAAACGGUGGGUACUAGGUGUGGGGUCCAUUCCACGGGUUCCGUGCCGUAGCUAACGCUUUAAGUACCCCGCCUGGGGAGUACGGCCGCAAGGCUAAAACUCAAAGGAAUUGACGGGGCCCCGCACAAGCGGCGGAGCAUGCGGAUUAAUUCGAUGCAACGCGUAGAACCUUACCUGGGUUUGACAUGGAUCGGGAGCGCUCAGAGAUGGGUGUGCCUCUUUUGGGGUCGGUUCACAGGUGGUGCAUGGCUGUCGUCAGCUCGUGUCGUGAGAUGUUGGGUUAAGUCCCGCAACGAGCGCAACCCUUGUUCACUGUUGCCAGCACGUUAUGGUGGGGACUCAGUGGAGACCGCCGGGGUCAACUCGGAGGAAGGUGGGGAUGACGUCAAGUCAUCAUGCCCCUUAUGUCCAGGGCUUCACGCAUGCUACAAUGGCUGGUACAGAGAGUGGCGAGCCUGUGAGGGUGAGCGAAUCUCGGAAAGCCGGUCUCAGUUCGGAUUGGGGUCUGCAACUCGACCUCAUGAAGUCGGAGUCGCUAGUAAUCGCAGAUCAGCAACGCUGCGGUGAAUACGUUCCCGGGGCU
rnacentral:rRNA from 1 species